GAAAACUUAACCGAACUAAUUCGGUUCGAUUUGGUUUAUAUAAGUUUGGUUCGGUUUAAUAACUUUGGUUUUUUAGUUUUGGGCCUCUUUAAUGGGCUAAUUUCUAAUUGGGCCUGCUAACUCUGAGAUUCAGUAUCUCAGUCAAUUUGUGUUUCCUGUAUCUAAUAUGUUCUGUCAAAUUUCAGGAAGAAACACGCAUCGUGGAUUUAUAUUUUCUCAUGUUUGUAUGUUAUUUUCUUCUUCUUUACAACAAUGAAAAAAAAUACUAUAAAAACAUUGACAGAUAUUGUGGAGCCUUUUGGCAACAGAAAAGAGAAAAUUUUAUGGAUUUUGAAUAAAAUUUUUGUAUGCUUUCACAUAACUAAAACUAAAAUGGCAUUACAUAUGUACACACUACACAACAUAUUCAUUUCCAACACACUACUGCAUCUUUAAUACUACUACGGUACUACCUUCCCAGUGAAUGAGUCAUUUGGAACAUCUGAAUGAUUUAUAGCUUCACAGAACAGCUACUUAGCUAGUUUGAAUGAGGUUGAGAAAACAGAAGGCCAGCUGAAGAGAGUAAUAAUUAAUAACCAGUUGCUAGACCCACUUUUCAUCUAGACUCUAGAGGGACUUUACUUGAUGCACUCCCUUUAUACAAAACUGAGAACAAUUUUCUUUUAGGAACUGGUUCAUGUACAUUAUGCAAGCACAUUUCCAGAAUUAACUGGAAUGAAGAAGAAGAAUAAGAAUGCAGAGAAAAAGAAGAGCUUAGAUUGAUCUCAUUGAUUGAAUCUUGAUCUUGUGUUGUAUAAUGUGUAGUUAGUAUUAGGGGUAGGUGUUAGGGAAUUCGGUUCUAUUUUAGAUUUUUUCUUUUUAGUUUUUUCGGUUUUUGGUUCUCAAUUUAGGUGUACUGAAAACUUAACCGAACUAAUUCGGUUCGAUUUGGUUUAUAUAAGUUUGGUUCGGUUUAAUAACUUUGGUUUUUUAGUUUUGGGCCUCUUUAAUGGGCUAAUUUCUAAUUGGGCCUGCUAACUCUGAGAUUCAGUAUCUCAGUCAAUUUGUGUUUCCUGUAUCUAAUAUGUUCUGUCAAAUUUCAGGAAGAAACACGCAUCGUGGAUUUAUAUUUUCUCAUGUUUGUAUGUUAUUUUCUUCUUCUUUACAACAAUGAAAAAAAAUACUAUAAAAACAUUGACAGAUAUUGUGGAGCCUUUUGGCAACAGAAAAGAGAAAAUUUUAUGGAUUUUGAAUAAAAUUUUUGUAUGCUUUCACAUAACUAAAACUAAAAUGGCAUUACAUAUGUACACACUACACAACAUAUUCAUUUCCAACACACUACUGCAUCUUUAAUACUACUACGGUACUACCUUCCCAGUGAAUGAGUCAUUUGGAACAUCUGAAUGAUUUAUAGCUUCACAGAACAGCUACUUAGCUAGUUUGAAUGAGGUUGAGAAAACAGAAGGCCAGCUGAAGAGAGUAAUAAUUAAUAACCAGUUGCUAGACCCACUUUUCAUCUAGACUCUAGAGGGACUUUACUUGAUGCACUCCCUUUAUACAAAACUGAGAACAAUUUUCUUUUAGGAACUGGUUCAUGUACAUUAUGCAAGCACAUUUCCAGAAUUAGUGUUGGCUC
rnacentral:lncRNA from 1 species